AUGUCUUCCUCAAGCUCCCGCGCCACCUCGCGGAUGCAGAGCCGGGCGCGUGUGGAGAUGCCUGUCUUCGUCUGUCCAUGGUGUCGGGCGGGCAUUGAUCGGAGUGUUUCUCACACACCGAGGAACCAGAAUUGUCCGAUCUACAUGUGCAGCGAGAAUGGGGUGACAUGCUUCUUUCUUUGGGUCGAUGCUCUGGCCAAGACUCUGAUAAAUGAACUGCAAGAAGAGUGAGGGAGUCCUGGACUAGGGGGUGUCCGGAUAGCCGAACUAUCAUCACGAGCUCCGGAAGAAGAGAUGGAGGGCGAAGCACGCACUGACAGAGAGCUAGCUGUUGAGCUUAGGAUGUUCAAGAAGAAGGUUAGGAAUCUUGAAGAUCAAUCACUACCAAUACCCAUUUGCAAAUACUUUUGGGCAUUUGUAGGUAUGGUAAUCGCACUGGUUGUAAUGUUGAAAAUGUAUGGAAAGGCAUGA
rnacentral:rRNA from 1 species